rnacentral:rRNA from 1 species
GGUCAAAUCAUCAUGCCCCUUAUACCCUGGGCUACACACGUGCUACAAUGGACGGUACAAAGAGCAGCGAGAUGGAGACAUUAAGCAAACCUCAUAAAGCCGUUCUCAGUUCGGAUUGAACUCUGCAACUCGAGUUCAUGAAGAUGGAAUCGCUAGUAAUCGCGGAUCAGCAUGCCGCGGUGAAUACGUUCCCGGGUCUU